rnacentral:RNase_P_RNA from 1 species
UAAUACGGAUAAUCGCUGACGAAAGUUAGAGGAAAGUCCACACUCACACUAGCUGUGAUGCUAGUAAUGUUUAUGCCGAGAUAUAAAAAAUAAACUCGGGUAGGUUAAUAACCUAACAGCAAGACAACAACCUAAGGGCAACUAUGGUCAAGUCUUAUAAAGUGCCACAGAGACGAUACUUUUGGAAACAAAAGGAGUGAAAAGUUGGUAAACCUCAUAAGUGAGAAACUCAAAUUUGGUAGAGGAACUUGAAUAGAGAAAAGAAUUGAAUUCAAGAUGGUUUAAAAACCAUAGAUAAAUGAUUAUCUAGACAAAAUGUGGCUUAUAGUA